GCCUCUUCCCUCCUCCCCUCCUCCCCUACCGUCUCUUUCGCUUCGACGAUGGCGAGCGGAAGAUGGAGGGCGGUCUGUGAGCGAAGGAUAAGGGCGCGAGCGGAAGAUGGCGAUAACGAUCGGUAGUGACGGCGUCGAAAGCGAAAUGGAACCCUGAAUUCUGUCGGAGCAAUGGUGGUGGCUCCAAGUCGGAGAGGUUCAUAUCAAUCAGGGAUCGCAGUAUGUCAUCCAAUGAGAAUGGAUGUCAGCAUUUGUUCUUGAGUCGGUGGAAGAGAUAUCAAAUAGGUUAAAGUUCAUAUUUUAAUUACUAGGUCAUCUCAGAGGACUUCAAGAACAGAGGAGAUGUUGAUGGGGGGAUUCAGUAGGAUGAAUA